UCUGAACUCCCUCUCCCUUGUUCUACCUUGCCCCUGCUCUGCCCAGCUGGACUUUGCCCUUCCCCAAUUUCCUCUACAGCCAAUGGAGCCAAACCCCUGCUCCCUGUCAGCUGUUCUUGUUCCUCCACGGAUUCAGACUCCAAAGGGGGCAUGACAAUAACAGAGGGAAUUGGUGGGCAUG